CCUACGGGAGGCAGCAGUGGGGGAUAUUGCACAAUGGGGGAAACCCUGAUGCAGCGACGCCGCGUGAGUGAAGAAGUAUUUCGGUAUGUUAAGCUCCAUCAGCAGGGAAGAAAAUGACAGUACCUGACCAAGAAGCCCCGGCUAACUACGUGCCAGAAGCCGUGGUAAUACGUAGGGGGCAAGCGUUAUCCGGAUUUACUGGGUGUAAAGGGGGCGUAGACGGUUAUGUAAGUCUGGAGUGAAAGCGCGGGGGCCAACCCCGGGACUGGUUUGGAAACUGUGUAACUGGAGUACAGGAGGGGCAGGCGGAAUGCGGGGUGUAGCGGUGAAAUGCGUAGAUAUCAGGAGGAACACCGGCGGCGAAGGCAGCCUGCUGGACUGAAACUGACGUUGAGGCUCGAAAGCGUGGGGAGCAAACAGGAUUAGAUACCCCUGUAGUC
rnacentral:rRNA from 1 species